AAUAGUUUCUUUGGUGGUGACCUACUACAUGGAUAACCGUAGUAAUUCUAGAGCUAAUACAUGCGUAAAUCUCGACUCACGAAGAGACGUAUUUAUUAGAUAAAGACCGACCUCGUUCUGCGGUGAAUCAUAAUAACUUCACGGACCGCAUGGCUUUAUGCCGGCGGUGUUCCAUUCAAAUUUCUGCCCUAUCAACUUUCGACGGUAGGAUAGAGGCCCACCGUGGUGUUCACGGGUGACGGAGAAUUAGGGUUCGAUUCCGGAGAGGGAGCCUGAGAAACGGCUACCACA
rnacentral:rRNA from 1 species